CCUACGGGAGGCAGCAGUGGGGAAUAUUGCACAAUGGGCGAGAGCCUGAUCCAGCAAAGUCGCGUGAGCGAUGAAGGCCCUCUGGUUGGUAAGCCUCUUUCUUCAGGAAGCUAAAGACGGCACUUGAGGAGUAAGCCCCGGCUAACUACGAGACAGCAGCCGCGGUAAUACGGAGGAGGCUGGCGUUAUCCGGAGUUACUGGGCGUAAAGGGUGUGUAGGUGGUUUCUUAAGUCAGAGGUGAAAGGGUACGGCUCAACCGUAGUAAGCCGUUGAAACUGGGGAACUUGAGUGCACGAGAGGAAAGUGGAAUGCCUGGUGUAGCGGUGAAAUGCAUAGAUAUUACGAAGAACACCAGUUGCGAAGGCAGCACUCUGGCCUGUAACUGACGCUGAGGCACGAAAGCGUGGGUAGCGAACAGGAUUAGAUACCCCUGUAGUC
rnacentral:rRNA from 1 species